UAGAACAGGAACGAUAGAAAUUUUUUUUUUUUUUAAACCCCAGAAAGAAUAAAUUAAAACACGUAACAACAACAAAAUAACACAAGGUGGAGGAUUAGUGAAACUGGAGCACAAACUGUAUAGUUAAUGUGUUUCUCAUUGCACUAGCUUAAUACUUAGAAGCCAGCAGUAAAACACCAUAUCAACACUGACAAUGUGCUUCAGUGAGCAAAGCAGGCGCUGCACCUUUAAUUUAAAAAAAAAAAUAUUUGUUGGCCUCUAUUUCAGUGACAUUUCACAGUUGCACCAUGUUGAAGUAGACUCUGGCGUUCUGCAGUUGGUUGAAAACAGCAUCUGAACUUGUGUAUUUUGUUCAAGAGGAUAAAGAGACAUUAUACCAAACACUAUAGAGCACUAUAAAAACAUUUCUGAAAACAGAUACAGCAUAGCCGUGAUGCCAGCUAUUUUUUGACCAACAGUAUGCACUGAAGUGUGCACUUUGCAUCUGUGUUAUGUAAGAAGAAAAUGUAUAAGAUGAGAGUUUGUAACUGGUAGAUAUUCAAUAUUAAAUGACUUAGAUUGAAAUUAUGAGCAAAAAACAUUCAUAGAACAACAUACUGAUUGUAACUAUACAGUCACUUCAAUUAGUGUGUUAAUUAUUUAAUAGGCCACUCUUCUCUUAUACUACACCUACUCUUACGUCUUUGUUUGUGACAGUUAAUAUCUUGAAGACAACAGUAGAAGCAAAUGUAAUCAGAGGCAGAGGGUUGCAGUAUAUACCAUAACAGUAGAGACUACCACAUACUGAGGAAAACCAGCUAAUUGCUAUUUUUGGAUUUCCACGAAACCAAAACAACACCAUGAGUAGCUGUCUGGCCGGCUGCCCUGCCCUACAGCCUCUCCUCGCCAUCUGUGCCGGCUGGUAUUCUUCAGAAAUGCUGGGACACUCACUCGCAACACACAGGCAGAACAACACCCAUGUGUUUGCCAGACAUUUAGUAGCCUGUUUGACUUUGCUCUCUAAGCAGAAAAGGGAAAAAUCGUAUGCAAUAGUGUGCCUUCAUACUAAAAGUCCCUGAUCUUAGAAAGAGAAAACUGCUCAACAGUCACUGUGGCAAAGGAGAGCUCAGGGACUGAAUUUUACUGAGUUUUACUAAAGUGCCAACUGUUCCCCCCAAAAAUGUAUUCAACAUCAUAUACACAACUGAAUAUUUUUCACAUUUGUUCAUCUUCUAAGCAUGUUACAUAACUUGAAAUCUAGUAGUGAUGUGCGAUGUGAUGUGUUUCAGCUGUGUUUUUCACUCAUCUGUCUUACACACAACUGACAGAAUAGAUAUGAUUCUGUUUUGAUCAAUACAGCUGUAGGCCGCGCAAUGGCUUGCAUUUUGCUUUACAUGCAUUUUAAAAGUGAAACUACAGUCUUUGUGUACUUGAUGUGUACUACACAGCAAUACUUUCCCUGAACGCAUCCUGUAUAGACACUGAUGGAGGAUGUGCUGCUUUCACUACACCACCUGUGCAGAUAUGGUGUUAACCUACAGCGGUUAAAAGAAAUCUGCAUGGUGAUACGCCUCUGCUUGAAGUCGGGUGGUGCUAUACUAGCAAUUUUGUGAGGUCACCAGAUUCUGCGUACUAAUAAGAAUGAUAAAUGUAUACGCCCAUGGUUUGACCUUAACUUUUUGAGGCACUUACGUAAUGACAACUAAACACAUAAUAUGAGGUGAGGCAGGGAAAGACAGUAGGGUCUGUCAAGAGUAAAUUACAGAAACCUUAGAGAACAAAAGUAAAACUUUACAGCAGUAGUAAGCAAGUAGGGGCCCGUAGAUCAAAUCUGGCGAAAGCAGACAUUUUCCCUUUCAUUGUUGAAAUUAUUUACAUGAUUUUCCAUUAAUCUACCAUAGAUAAGAAUGUAAAUACAAGGCUUAUAAAUAAAUAUGACCUCAUAAGGUAACAUCUAACACUGCCCCAAUGUGCAGAGAGGCAGCAGGCUUUCUGAACAGUGCAUGGUGUAGAAAAUAAGUCUAAUAAACGUACCAGAUGAAUUACACAUAAAUAUAAUGUAGCCUAUUUGACUAGAACAGAUUUGUGUCAACAACAGUACUUUUAUCCAAACAUAAAUGAAGCAAGGUAUCAGCAACAGCUCAUUAUUGUGAAUUACAGUCAUUCUUACAGUGAUUAAAAAGUCAGUGGAGAGUUCUUUUUGUUCUUGGCGAACCACAGGAAGAGUUGACACAUGUGCAAUAAAUUUCUUCAGAUGCAUAUUUUGUGGUGGACACGAAUAUUCGUUCAUUGGAUAGGUAGGUAUUCAAUUUUCAAUUUGGGAUUCGGAUAUUCACACACACACCUACACCUCUGUCUCUUACUGCACACACACCAGCUUGCCCAGCCCCGCCUCUUUCUCUCUCGCUGUAUCACACAGGGACACUGUUGACUUUCUUUGUCAGCAGUAUGUUUUAUAAAGUCGCGCAAAGAACACAACUUGCGUUUUGGAUUUUUUCACUCACAGUUCUGUUGUCACAACAGCAGGUGAGGCACGUGUGGAGGAGGCUUGCUUUUAAUGACGUAGUCUAUCGAUAUGAUGGAAACCUACGUGGUACUGAAUGACUUCUGCACCAACCAGGUGCGUUCACUGUUAGUUUACCUGGUCCGUGCUUGUAAAAUAUCCACCGUGUGUGUCGGUGUAAUACCAGAGAACGUGUCUCUCUCUCUGUGUUUCUCUGCAGAGCAUGUGUGAUUGUCAGUAUACCUGUAUGGGAGGGGUAGCGUGAGGGGAGAUUGUCCACUAGUUAAUCGAUCGUGGAUGCCGUCGGUCUGACAGUAUUUUUAACACAAACAACAUGACAGAUGCGUUGUGUUUAGGUAACGUCCAACUUGGCUAGCAGUGUAGAUCUCAAAAUGUAUUUUUGGUCAAUGCGAGUGAUUAGCUAACGUUAUCGUUCUUCUUGGUGCCUUCCCUGGCCGGGCUACCGAGCCUGAAGGAACAUCGCUGCUACUGUCGUGAGGUAAAAUGUUUGAACAGCGAGCAGUUCCCACUCUGCGGGUCAAUCAAGGCAUUCUAAGUUGGACGUAUCAUGGGGGAAAAAUGCAUUUGUAUAAAAUCGGUAUACUGAAUGUAUUCAUUUAACUAAACAGCCAAGUAAUGACACCCAUAACGUGAAGACACAGAUUUUUUUUGUUUGUUUAUGACUUUAAACUUGUCCGGUGGGGCACCAAAAAUCCACUUGUCCCGGACAAGCCUUAAUGUCGAGCCCUGUACACUGUCCCGCCCUAACAGGUCCAACAAAAGUAAGAUAAGAGUCAUUGAGAUGUCAAUCAAACACAUCUUUACACUCCUACACAGUCAUGACAAAAAGGUCUAAUCAGGCACAGUAAGUAAAAACACCUGUGUGGAGUUUGUGCACCCUCACACCAACAGUCUGAAACAAAAAGUGUCUUGUGGUGUCAAUGGCACAGCAACUCAGUCCCUUCUUCUCAUUUCUCAGUUUGGACAUUCUCGACUCCUUUCCUCGCCUCCUCUCCUCACGUCUUAGUCCCUCUCACCUGAGAUGCAAGCGGAGGAGGCAAGGAGGAAACACGAGUUGAGGCAACAGGCAUUUAACAAAAUGAGAUAUCCUUGCUUCGCAGGUGUCAUUUUACAGCGACGUCAAUUAAAUAUGAUGUCUGGCACAGUUGUAUCAUCUGUCCAUUGUCACGCCUCUUUUAUACGUCACAGGUGCCAAAAAGACUUCCGCAAAGGAUACACCUUUGCAUUCUUGCUCAUUGCUCCUCUGGCAAGCCUCCUUUCUCCUCGCUCCUCGAGAUGCAUUUUAGGAAUUGAGACAUUCUUCAAGAUGGCGCACUGACAUCGGUCGAUUUUCCGGGUCACAGGCAGGAGGACGGAGGAGAGAGGAGACGAGGUGGCACAAAAUAGAGAAAUGACAAGAGCCCAGAGACUUCCAAAAUUUUGUGAACGAGGCUUAAGCCGUGGCAGUGAGCCAGCAUG